AACGAACGCUGGCGGCAGGCUUAACACAUGCAAGUCGAGCGCUCCGCAAGGGGAGCGGCAGACGGGUGAGUAACGCGUGGGAAUCUACCCAUCUCUACGGAAUAACGCAUGGAAACGUGUGCUAAUACCGUAUACGUCCUUCGGGAGAAAGAUUUAUCGGGGAUGGAUGAGCCCGCGUUGGAUUAGCUAGUUGGUGGGGUAAAGGCCUACCAAGGCGACGACCCAUAGCUGGGCUGAGAGGAUGAUCAGCCACACUGGGACUGAGACACGGCCCAGACUCCUACGGGAGGCAGCAGUGGGGAAUAUUGAACAAUGGGGGCAAGCCUGAUCCAGCCAUGCCGCGUGAGUGAUGAAGGCCCUAGGGUUGUAAAGCUCUGUCACCGGUGAAGAUAAUGACGGUAACCGGAGAAGAAGCCCCGGCUAACUUCGUGCCAGCCGCCGCGGUAACAC
rnacentral:rRNA from 1 species